rnacentral:rRNA from 1 species
AGAGUUUGAUCAUGGCUCAGGACGAACGCUGGCGGUGUGCUUAAUACAUGCAAGUCGAACAGAGUUUGAUCAUGGCUCAGAUUGAACGCUGGCGGCAGGCCUAACACAUGCAAGUCGAACGGUAGCACAGAGGAGCUUGCUCCUUGGGUGACGAGUGGCGGACGGGUGAGUAAUGUCUGGGAAACUGCCCGAUGGAGGGGGAUAACUACUGGAAACGGUAGCUAAUACCGCAUAACGUCGCAAGACCAAAGAGGGGGACCUUCGGGCCUCUUGCCAUCAGAUGUGCCCAGAUGGGAUUAGCUAGUAGGUGGGGUAACGGCUCACCUAGGCGACGAUCCCUAGCUGGUCUGAGAGGAUGACCAGCCACACUGGAACUGAGACACGGUCCAGACUCCUACGGGAGGCAGCAGUGGGGAAUAUUGCACAAUGGGCGCAAGCCUGAUGCAGCCAUGCCGCGUGUAUGAAGAAGGCCUUCGGGUUGUAAAGUACUUUCAGCGGGGAGGAAGGUGUUGAGGUUAAUAACCUCAGCAAUUGACGUUACCCGCAGAAGAAGCACCGGCUAACUCCGUGCCAGCAGCCGCGGUAAUACGGAGGGUGCAAGCGUUAAUCGGAAUUACUGGGCGUAAAGCGCACGCAGGCGGUCUGUCAAGUCGGAUGUGAAAUCCCCGGGCUCAACCUGGGAACUGCAUUCGAAACUGGCAGGCUAGAGUCUUGUAGAGGGGGGUAGAAUUCCAGGUGUAGCGGUGAAAUGCGUAGAGAUCUGGAGGAAUACCGGUGGCGAAGGCGGCCCCCUGGACAAA